rnacentral:rRNA from 1 species
AUUGAACGCUGGCGGCAUGCCUUACACAUGCAAGUCGAACGGCAGCACGGGUGCUUGCACCUGGUGGCGAGUGGCGAACGGGUGAGUAAUACAUCGGAACAUGUCCUGUAGUGGGGGAUAGCCCGGCGAAAGCCGGAUUAAUACCGCAUACGAUCUACGGAUGAAAGCGGGGGACCUUCGGGCCUCGCGCUAUAGGGUUGGCCGAUGGCUGAUUAGCUAGUUGGGGGGGUAAAGGCCUACCAAGGCGACGAUCAGUAGCUGGUCUGAGAGGACGACCAGCCACACUGGGACUGAGACACGGCCCAGACUCCUACGGGAGGCAGCAGUGGGGAAUUUUGGACAAUGGGCGAAAGCCUGAUCCAGCAAUGCCGCGUGUGUGAAGAAGGCCUUCGGGUUGUAAAGCACUUUUGUCCGGAAAGAAAUCCUUGGCUCUAAUACAGUCGGGGGAUGACGGUACCGGAAGAAUAAGCACCGGCUAACUACGUG